CAACACUUCCACCCAGUUUGUUUUAGUUUGUUGGUAUUUAUCGGUGGAGCAGCAGCACAUUUUCCACAGACAGUUUUACUGUCCGUUGUCUUGUUUUAAUCAGUUUUCAGUUCAGUAAUUCAGUCCUUCGGCUGAUUGGACCAACAGACACUGAAGGACUCCGACAGCUGAGUGAAAGUAGCAGUUCCUCCUGAAGGUCAGAGAUUGCAGCAUCUGAGGGCCUCUUCAAAAGAAGAUGUAGUUGAUGAAGACGUUCUGGAGCAGGACCAGAAAGACCACGACCAAGCAGCCUUGAGAUCUUAGACAGCGUCUCCCUCAGUUCAAAGGUCCCUCUCUAUCUCCCUACACAUCCACCAACCACUGGAACACAUCUCCAAAGUUCUGCUGGGCCAGCUCAGCUUCCCCUCAGAAGAAGUGCUGCCACCUGCCAGAUGAAGGAGCCUUUUGAGAGGCAGCUGGCAUCGUGAUUGGACUGUACUUUGGUCUGUUCCAAUCCAGCUUCAGCUCCAGAGACGGCAGGCGGGACGAGUCAACGGAGGCCGGGUGGAUGAAGACAUGCAGCUGAGUACAAUCCAGAAAACAACAGAGGAGGAGUGCAGCAGCCCAGAGCCAGAACAACCAGAGUAGCAUCGUAUGUCCCUUAGAAAACAUCAUAGUUUAGCCUUUGGUAUGAAAAAACACCAUCAUAUACAUCGUAUAUUGUACAAAUAACAAGUCAAAGGAAAGAGACAUACAUUGUAGAAUUGUAGUAAUUGUGGGCUGACUGAUUUACUGAUUAUCAGUAUUUUAUUUUUUACUGAUUUACGGUAAUAAAUCAGUUUAAGAAUGGUG